UACGUAGGUGGCAAGCGUUGUCCGGAUUUACUGGGCGUAAAGAGCGCGCAGGCGGUCGUUCAAGUCGCGUGUGAAAGCCCCCGGCUCAACUGGGGAGGGUCACGCGAUACUGAUCGACUCGAAGGCAGGAGAGGGAAGUGGAAUUCCCGGUGUAGUGGUGAAAUGCGUGAGAUAUCGGGAGGAACACCAGUGGCGAAGGCGACUCCUGGCCUGUUCUUGACGCUGAGGCGCGAAAGCGUGGGGGAG
rnacentral:rRNA from 1 species